CUAAAAAUACAAAAUUAGCCGGGCGUGGUGGUGCCUGCCCUGUAAUCCCAGCUACUCGGAGGCUGAGGCAGGAGAAUCGCUCAAACCCGGGAGGCAGAGGUUGGGGUAAGCUGAGAUCUUGCCAUUGCACUCCAGCCUGGGCAACAAGAGCGAAACUCUGUCUCAAAAAAAAUAGUAAAAAUUAGGCCGGGUGCGGUGGCUCACGCUUGUAACCCCAGCACUUUGGGAGGCCGAGGCGGGCGGAUCAUGAGGUCAGGAGAUCGGGACCAUCCUGUCUAACACGGUGAAACCCUCGGGAGGCAAAGCGUGCAGUGAGCCAAGAUGGCGCCACUGCACUCCAGCGUGGGCGACAAAGCAAGACUCCGCUUCAAAAAAAAAAAAAAAAAAGUAAAUUAAAAUAAAUUAAAUAAAUUAAAAUAAUUAAAAUAAAUUAAAAUAAAUUAAAAUAAAAUUGUAGCAUUGUAUAAAUGAGUUAGCACUAAAGAUAAAAUAUAUACAAUUUAAGACAGUAUUAUAACGAUUAAGAAAAAAUCUGAGUAUAAAUUCUGAUAGUUCAGAGGAAGGCAAGAGAGGAUCCAGCACCGUGAGAAUGUCAUUAAUAUUGGGAGAAAUUCUCAAUUUAUUGAGACUGAAAGUCACCUAUGAGUAUCAAUUUAAUGAGGAAGUUGGAAGAAUUUGAUGCAGUUUCCUGUGUCACAUCAUGGCUCCAAUAGGAAUAUAUUAUUUAGCUAGUGACUGCUGCAACAAACCAAAGAUCACACCAGUAAUUCCCAGCUGGCUUGGAAUGUCAUAGCAUAUAUGGACAAUUAAUGUUUCCUGACUUACUGGAUCUGUUCUUUCAGCCCAUCUUGCACACAACUGCCAGAUUAAUAUUACUGCUUUUUAUGUUGAAUACCUCUGUUCAAAAAUCCUUUGUAGGACAAACACCUUAGCUUCACUGUCAAAGCUCUCUAUAAUCUGCUUCCCGUCUUAUCUCCCAUCAUUCCUUAAUAGGGUUUACUUCACCUAACCCUAUCUAUUCAUUCUUAACUAAAGAUAUCCAGCCAGGUGCAGUGGCUCAAGCCUGUAAUCCCAGCAUUUUGGGAGGCCGAGGCAGAAAGAUCGCUGGAGGCCAGGAAUUCAAGACCAACCUAGGCAAAAUGAAGAAACCUCAUCUCCACAAAAAAUAGACAUAAAAAAAUUAGCCAGUUGCUCCUGCAUGUGUCUGUCAGGUGAAUCCCUUGAAGUCAGGAGUUCAAGACCACCAUGGCCAACAUGGCAAAACCCCAUCUCUACUAAAUAUGCAAUAAUUAGCCGAGUGUGGUGGCACAUGCCUGUAGUCCCAGCUACUCAGGAGACUGAGGCAGGAGAAUCCCUU
rnacentral:lncRNA from 1 species